GGACACAGUGGGCAGGAGGCCAGUUUAAGGAGGACUGCUGAAGCCCUGCUGUCAGGCUCAGAAGAGCCCAAGGAACAAGGGACACAGGUGACCUGGAGGACACAGGGUGGCUGCCAGACUGGAAAGGGGACAAGGUAGGCACCUCCUCAUCACCCAGCUUUUCCUGAAGCCAAAGGAUCCCUUCCUUUCUAGGCAGCCUGGGAGUGGGUGGACCCUCUCCCAUGCUCAGACAGUGGUAGACACAGAUAACUUUUUUUCCCAAAGAAUUCCAGGUGCCAGCAGAACAGUGGAGAAAUAAUACCUGUAGUAAUAAGAUUCACAAAUGCUGGGCUCACCAGAGAGAAAGCAUGCACAUCCUGUCAUGGCCUAGCAGUGCACUGAAUAAUUUCGCCUGGUGUGUGGGGACUUUUAGGCCCAGGGAACCCAGGCCCAUGAGCAGGUCUUGACUAUUCUCUUCAUAACUCCAAAGUAUUGCCUGGAGAGUGGCCACAGAGGGCAAAUCAGUAUCAGCAGGAGCUACUUUGGGAAGCACAGAGGCUGACUGAGCACAAGGAAAAAUGUUCAUACUGCCUCUCCUGAUCGGCUGGGAGUGCCCAUCACAGCAAGUGAGCAGGGACUUGAUGACCAGUAGCCAGGAAUUUUGUACAGCAAAUACAUAUGAGGAGUGGGCUGCUGACCUCUGAGGUCCCUUAGCCCUGGAAUGUGAAGUGAUACUGGCUAACAGAAAUGCUUGGGUUUACUUGAGAACCAAGCUAAUCAAUGCGGUAUUUUGGCUCAGGACUGCUUGGCUCAUGGCACCAUUCCAUAGACUUCCCUCCCUGCCCUUUAUGCCACUGACUUUCACAGCUUUCGACCCCUGGGUUGACCUGCCCUCUCUCCAUGAGCUGUGGAACCUUUAGAAGCUGUAUGCUCCUGCAUAUUUUGCAAACUGGAUCAGCAUCAGGGACUUAAAACCACAGGAAGGUGCCAGAAGGCAGAGACCUCCAAUGUGAAUUUUUACUGGUGGAGGGAAAGGGCUGCUCCCUUACUCUUUUUCACGCACCAGUGCAGCGAGAACAGAGGCUUUAAUGGUGGGCUUGAGAACUAAGACUAAGCCCAGCAUGAGGAUUAUGAGGGCACGGUACAGUGGCCAAGAAAUAGGGAUAAGGGCACCAGCGUCUGUGGUGCUACUGCUUCGGGCACUUUGUCUCUUCUCAGUUCUUAAAGGAAGUCUGCAGAAGAGGGUUCAGCACGUCACAAACUGGUGUGUGACCUUGUAGAUUCCCAUAGACUCCUGGGCCUUUUUGUCAGUCAGUCCAGUCCUUUUCUUGCAGAUUAAUGUCACUGAAGACAGUCCCUGCCUCCAUGUCCUUAGCAGCAAACCCUGUCUGGGACUGAAAAUCAACUGGUUCGAGGCCCUGGCACUCAAACUUCACAAUUGUCUUGAACUUCUCAUUAUCUUCAGCAUGAUAAGACCUGGUGAUGCUACUCAAAAUCUUAAUGGAAUUUUCCCAUGCUCACAGGUUGCACUUAUGGACCACAGAGGCACUGCCAUGCUCUCCCUUCAGUGCCACACUGUCCAUCAGUCCAUCAGUAUUGCCACUUCUCUGAAAUCACAGUUGCGCAUUUCAUCUUCAGGUACCACCAGAAGUCCUCGCCCAAGGCUAGAGGCUCUUCCUGGGCCUGGAAGGGCUACCACCAUUCUUCAUUGGCUGAUGCUCCCAUGUGGCUCAGGGCUCCAGUUGCCUGCUCCAGGGAGCCUUCAAUGACUAUCCUUUAAUGCUCCCACCCACUCCUCAUGUGCAAAGGGUUUAAGCUUAUGAAACACCAAAGCCAAGAAUAAAGUUCUUUGACUGGAAUUUCUCCUUUCCUGUAACACCACCUACAAGAAACUUUUAAUUUGUGUGGGUUAAAGAAGCAUCUUUGAUGAAGUGGAAAAGAGACAGUAUAAUAAAGUUACAAAACACAGUGCAACUGCCACAGCUCAGAGAAAAACACCAGAUUGGGAAUCAGGAGACUGGCCCUGGGAGUAUGGAGGCCUUUGGAACUCGCUAGCAGGAGGAAUUUGGAAAGAUUUGGAGAUGCUGGCUGGAGAAGCAUCCCUGAAUACUGUAAGCUGAAUUUGGUGGGACAUUCUGGUUAGUGCUCAGAAGACCAGCAUGCUGACAGAAAUACAGCUGGUAAAGACCAGGAUCAGGAGGUUUCAGUUGGGAACAAGGAGUGCAUUGGCAGUUGGACUCUAGGCCAUGUGUGUUAUGCUUUGGCAGAAAAUGUGCCUACAUUUUGCUCGUGUCGUGAGACUUUGCCAGAGACUGAGAUUAAGCAUGGCUGACUAAUUAAUCUGGUGGAGGAAAUGUCAAGGCAGCCAAACACUCAGGCUGUAACUUGGGUACUAUUGGGGAUUUUAGCCAGCUCUAACUUGAGAAUCAAGAGCUAAAAGCACAGCUGAAUGAUUUUAAAAGUUUUGAGUUGGGCCAGAAAGGAAGCUCCUAUAAAGAUGGAGCCUGCAAAGAUGAAGUAGAUAAAAGCUUGAUUGCUAAAAAGAUUAGCAUUAAAAGAACCCAUGAAGGGGAAGUGAGAGGGGUAGGGGAAAGGAAAGAAGGGAAUGGAAUAAAUAUUUGAAAAGGAAAAAAUGGAAACAAAGUCUUUGUAAAUAGGGAGGGGUAGAGGGGGUUGAAGGGAGGGCAGAGGAAUGGGGAAAAAAAUGAGAACCAAGAUACAUCAUGUAAAGGUACAAAUAAUCCCAAUAAUGAAUGUCAGCAUAUUGUAUACCUAAAAUGUACCAAUAAAAUGAAUGAAUAAUAAAAAAGAAAGAACCCAUGAACUUGGGAUCUGGACAAUACAACGAUGCCUUGAAGGCAUGGGAAGAAUCUCAAAAAAAUCCACCCUUUGCAGGCUCAAAACUGCAAAGGUUAAAGAUAGUGCUUUGAAAAGAAAGCCCCAAAGCACUCUGUCGGAGAAGGACCACCUAGGCAAUUGAUUCCCCAUGAUUCAGUUUACUGCGCACAGCCAGCCAGCCAGGAACUUGGGAGGCCUCUGCAACCACCAGCAAGAUGCAAAAGGGCUCAUCUAUGACUCCAGAUGGCAGCAGACCUUGGCAUCAUCCACAUUCAGAAUGCAAGAGUUGUGGUGACAGGGAGGCUUCCACCCAGAUAUCAGAAGAAGGCCAGGGAGUCCAGGCAAUAAGCCCCUGAGAGGUCAGUGUG
ensembl:lncRNA